rnacentral:rRNA from 1 species
GACGGAGGAUGCAAGCGUUAUCCGGAAUGAUUGGGCGUAAAGCGUGCGCAGGUGGCAGUUCAAGUCUGCUGUCAAAGCCCGGGGCUUAACUUCGGAAAGGCAGUGGAAACUGAACAGCUAGAGUAUGGUAGGGGCAGAGGGAAUUCCUGGUGUAGCGGUGAAAUGCGUAGAGAUCAGGAAGAACAUCGGUGGCGAAGGCGCUCUGCUGGACCAUAACUGACACUCAGGGACGAAAGCUAGGGGAGCGAAUGGG